rnacentral:rRNA from 1 species
UGGGGAAUUUUGGACAAUGGGCGAAAGCCUGAUCCAGCCAUGCCGCGUGAGUGAAGAAGGCCUUCGGGUUGUAAAGCUCUUUUAGUCGGAAAGAAAGAGUUGCAAUGAAUAAUUGUGAUUUAUGACGGUACCGACAGAAAAAGCACCGGCUAACUACGUGCCAGCAGCCGCGGUAAUACGUAGGGGGCGAGCGUUAAUCGGAAUUACUGGGCGUAAAGGGUGCGUAGGCGGUCUUGCAAGUCAGAUGUGAAAGCCCCGGGCUUAACCUGGGAAUUGCGUUUGAAACUACAAGGCUAGAGUGCAGCAGAGGGGAGUGGAAUUCCAUGUGUAGCAGUGAAAUGCGUAGAGAUGUGGAAGAACACCGAUGGCGAAGGCAGCUCCCUGGGUUGACACUGACGCUCAUGCACGAAAGCGUGGGGAGCAAACA